GUAGAAUUAGUUUAAAAAAAACAUUAGCUUGUCAAGCUAAAAUUAUUAUGUAAUAUUCUUCU
rnacentral:tRNA from 1 species